rnacentral:lncRNA from 1 species
CGUGUUUAUCGUCAUUUUCAUCAGUUGGAACUCCUCUUUGGCCUUUUCUUUGCUGCAGCCAUUCCUGGCAUGAGAUGGAAGAAUGGCAGGAACAAGGAGGUGAACCACGGUUUAAACAGGUGUACUGCAAGAAGUCCAAGCAAUGGAUAUUGAAAACAAUCUUAACGCCAAACAUCACCCAGUUUAUCGGACAUCUUAUCAAGAGGGUCAUGGACAGAAGACAUGACCCUAACAUUAAGUUCAAAGUCCCAACCUCCUCACUCAUCCUGCCACAACCUAUGGAAAGCCAAGAAGGCCACAAUCCGGACCUAGAUUGGCGCGGUAAAAGUGCAAAACCCGUACGGAUUCCGUACGGUUUCCGUACGGUUUGGUACGGAUUCCGUACGGAUUCCGUACGGUUUUGAAUGACUAAUAGCCGCGGCUAUUAGUCAUUCACUCCGGCUAUUAGUUAUUCGCUCCGGCUAUUAGGUAUGCAGAACGAGCCCCUCCCCUUCUUUGCUUGACCACUAAGUUUGAAGGCUGUCUAACCAAUCAGUGAAGAGAAAGACCAGACUAAAGUAACGCAUUGUCGAAACUAGAGCUGCAGUGCCUCCAUGUUUCGCCGUAACAUAAGGCUGUGUUGUCUUUACUAGUUUCACUACAAUGUAAUGACCACCACUAGCUAGUGGAAAAUAUAUUUGUGUCUAGUACAGUGAUAUAUUUGUAUAUGUUAGGCUAUAUAUUGAGAUGGCAGUGUGCGAAAUACCCAUCAUUAUUCGGGGAUGCCCUCAUCCCCAGAUUGUUCGCGAUAUGCAGUAGCCAGCUCGGCCAUAACAUUACAAUAUUUCAUGGAUGCAAGCAAGCCAAGACAAUCGAUCUAUAUCUAUAGCCUACAUGACAACACGCAGACACACACACACACACACACACACACACACACACACACACACACACACACACACACACACACACACACACACACACACACACACACACACACACACACACACACACACACAUAUUAAGCACACUGGUAAAGCAAUAGGAGCCUGCAUUGGCUAAAGUUGUUGGGAUGCACCUUAUUUUAUAACAGGGAGGGGCAAAGUUGUGCAUUACAAUGCAAACACGACAAUAAUUGGCACCGUUCUUGCGCACUCAGAAGAACAUGAACUGAAUAAAUGCCAGGUAUAUAGCAUAUCGGAGACGGGUACACAAUCAGUGCAUUUGCAAAUGAGAGCCUGCAGUAGGACCGAUCUUGUGACAUUAUUUAACCAUCCAUCUACAGCUAAUACGAUCAGACAGAUACAUCAUUGAUCACAUAAAAGCCCACAACAAGCCCAACAUCAACACGGCAGGUGCGCUCUCUCUCGCACAUUCACACAAUCACUCCAACUUCUCCAACUCCAAGGCAAGGCUGUUUCACUAAGACCACAAACAACCACAACUAACCAGCCUAAAUAUCCACAAUAAUGCACAACAAUCAGUUCUAUACAUUGCGUCUAUCUUCUGUUAGGUCCACAUGGCUAAUUUGCAUAGUUUGCACCGGACUGUCGGCUCCGCUUGUCAAAAAAAUAGAACGUAUUUGUGAAUAAAUGCUUUGAAUUCUGAAUACUGGACUUGGUGAGCUUGAAUAGGCUAAAUUUAAGUGACCUUUA